CCCAGACUCCUACGGGAGGCAGCAGUGGGGAAUAUUGGACAAUGGGGGGAACCCUGAUCCAGCGACGCCGCGUGAGUGAAGAAGUAUUUCGGUAUGUAAAGCUCUAUCAGCAGGGAAGAAGUUGACGGUACCUGAGUAAGAAGCCCCGGCUAACUACGUGCCAGCAGCCGCGGUAAUACGUAGGGGGCAAGCGUUAUCCGGAAUGACUGGGCGUAAAGGGUGCGUAGGUGGUUUGGCAAGUUAGUAGCGUAACUCCAAGGCUCAACCUUGGAACUACUACUAAAACUGUUGGACUUGAGUGCAGGAGGGGCAACCGGAAUUCCUAGUGUAGCGGUGGAAUGCGUAGAUAUUAGGAGGAACACCAGUGGCGAAGGCGGGUUGCUAGACUGUAACUGACACUGAGGCACGAAAGCGUGGGGAGCAAACAGGAUUAGAUACCCGCGUAA
rnacentral:rRNA from 1 species